AAUUAGAAUUAAUAUAAAAAUAUAAUUUUAAAUAAUAGGUACUGAAGAAUUUUUUAAAGGUUAAUCGAUCUGUUCACUCAAUGGUUUGUGAAAAGUAAGUAAUGAAUCAUCUUAUCGAGAUAUUUCAUAUUUAUUUUGAAGAUAAAUAAUUAUUUUUUAAAAUUAUAUAUGAUUUAUGAAAUUAUGUUUGAAUUAAAAGUGAUUCUAAAAUACUAUGAUUUAUUGAUUAUGCAUAUGUUCAUUAGAAAUUAUGAUAUAUUAUGAUAUAAAAAUAUUUUGAUACA
rnacentral:lncRNA from 1 species